GUGGCGACCGGGUGAGUAACACGUGACUAACCUACCUCCGAGUGGGGAAUAACUCCGGGAAACCGGGGCUAAUACCGCAUAACAUCGCAAGAUCAAAGCAGCAAUGCGCUUGGAGAGGGGGUCGCGGCUGAUUAGCUAGUUGGCGGGGUAACGGCCCACCAAGGCGAAGAUCGGUAUCCGGCCUGAGAGGGCGCACGGACACACUGGAACUGAAACACGGUCCAGACUCCUACGGGAGGCAGCAGUGGGGAAUUUUGCGCAAUGGGGGAAACCCUGACGCAGCAACGCCGCGUGGAGGAUGAAGCCCUUUGGGGCGUAAACUCCUUUCGACUCGGACGAUAAUGACGGUACGAGUGGAAGAAGCACCGGCUAACUCUGUGCCAGCAGCCGCGGUAAUACAGAGGGUGCAAGCGUUGUUCGGAAUUAUUGGGCGUAAAGGGCGCGUANGCGGUGCGGUAAGUCACCUGUGAAAUCUCCUGGCUUAACUGGGAG
rnacentral:rRNA from 1 species